GAGGGUCGAAAGAAGAGUGAAAGGCCUA
rnacentral:piRNA from 1 species